rnacentral:rRNA from 1 species
GAUGAACGCUGGCGGCGUGACUAAUACAUGCAAGUCGAGCGAACGGACGAGAAGCUUGCUUUUCUGAUGUUAGCGGCGGACGGGUGAGUAACACGUGGAUAACCUACCUAUAAGACUGGGAUAACUUCGGGAAACCGGAGCUAAUACCGGAUAAUAUUUUGAACCGCAUGGUUCAAAAGUGAAGGACGGUCUUGCUGUCACUUAUAGAUGGAUCCGCGCUGCAUUAGCUAGUUGGUAAGGUAACGGCUUACCAAGGCAACGAUGGAUAGCCGACCUGAGAGGGUGAUCGGCCACACUGGAACUGAGACACGGUCCAGACUCCUACGGGAGGCAGCAGUAGGGAAUCUUCCGCAAUGGGCGAAAGCCUGACGGAGCAACGCCGCGUGAGUGAUGAAGGUCUUCGGAUCGUAAAACUCUGUUAUUAGGGAAGAACAUAUGUGUAAGUAACUGUGCACAUCUUGACGGUACCUAAUCAGAAAGCCACGGCUAACUACGUG